UGGCGAACGGGUGAGUAAUAUAUCGGAACGUGCCCAGUAGUGGGGGAUAGCCCGGCGAAAGCCGGAUUAAUACCGCAUACGACCUACGGGUGAAAGAGGGGGAUCGCAAGACCUCUCGCUAUUGGAGCGGCCGAUAUCAGAUUAGGUAGUUGGUGGGGUAAAAGCCCACCAAGCCGACGAUCUGUAGCUGGUCUGAGAGGACGACCAGCCACACUGGGACUGAGACACGGCCCAG
rnacentral:rRNA from 1 species